UCGGCAAGUCGGUCUGUCGCGCUGGGAAGCUCACGCUUUUCCGGUGAGGAAAGUCCGGGCAACACAGGGCAGUGUACCCCGGGAACACCGGGGGAUGUCAACCAGGCUCGUCUUGGCUGACAGACAGAAAGUGUAGCAGAAAAUAACAUCUCCCGCUGCUUCGGCAACGGGAGGAAUGGUGAAAACGUGAGGUAAGAGCUCACGCUUCUCAACGGUAACGUUGGGUUGGUACAAACCUUACACGUUGAAAGACCAAGUAAACCUCCCUAUGCAACGGCCCGUUGCGGUCCUUUUGGGGACGGGAGGAGGGUAGGUUGCUAAGGGUCCCUUAACGGGGAACAAGAUAAAUGGCAGACCCGCCUUCGCUAAAGCUAUGACGAGCUUGGCUCGUAUGAUGUUGUCACCGAGUUCACCUCAAAUGACAACUCAUUUUGCGGACAUCGUCCGCCGUAGCCUCAGCGAAGGCGGACAGAACCCGGCUUACAGACUUGCCUUUUUU
rnacentral:RNase_P_RNA from 1 species